CCUACGGGAGGCUGCAGUGGGGAAUAUUGGGCAAUGGGCGCAAGCCUGACCCAGCAACGCCGCGUGAAGGAAGAAGGCUUUCGGGUUGUAAACUUCUUUUGUCAGGGAAGAGUAGAAGACGGUACCUGACGAAUAAGCCACGGCUAACUACGUGCCAGCAGCCGCGGUAAUACGUAGGUGGCAAGCGUUGUCCGGAUUUACUGGGUGUAAAGGGCGUGUAGCCGGGUUGACAAGUCAGAUGUGAAAGCCUGCGGCUUAACCGAGGAACUGCAUUUGAAACUGGCGAUCUUGAGUACUGGAGAGGCAGAUGGAAUUCCUAGUGUAGCGGUGAAAUGCGGAGAGAUUAGGAGGAACACCAGUGGCGAAGGCGGUCUGCUGGACAGCAACUGACGGUGAGGCGCGAAAGCGUGGGGAGCAAACAGGAUUAGAUACCCUAGUAGUC
rnacentral:rRNA from 1 species